rfam:Echinostoma caproni strain Egypt genome assembly, scaffold: ECPE_scaffold0008146
GGCCUCGUAGCUCAGCUGGUAGAGCAUGCGCGUACAAAGCGUAGGUGGCGUCCAUGCGUGGGUUCGAAUCCCACCGAGGCUA